rnacentral:rRNA from 1 species
GUGUCAGCAGCCGCGGUAAUACAGAGGAUGCAAGCGUUAUCCGGAAUCACUGGGCAUAAAGCGUCUGUAGGUUGUUUAGUAAGUCUGCUGUUAAAGACUGGGGCUUAACCCCAGAAAAGCAGUGGAAACUGCUAGACUUGAGUGUGGUAGAGGUAGAGGGAAUUCCUAGUGUAGCGGUGAAAUGCGUAGAUAUUAGGAAGAACACCAAUGGCGAAGGCACUCUACUGGGCCAUAACUGACACUGAGAGACGACAGCUAGGGGAGCAAACGGGAUUAGAUACCCCGGUAGUCCUAGCCGUAAACGAUGGAUACUAGAUGUUGCACGUAUUAACCCGUGCAGUAUCGUAGCUAAGGCGUUAAGUAUCCCGCCUGGGAAGUACGCUCGCAAGAGUGAAACUCAAAUGAAUUGACGGGG